rnacentral:tRNA from 1 species
GACGCCGUGGCCGAGCGGUUCAGGCGACGGUCUGCAAAACCGUCCACGUGGGUUCGAAUCCCACCGGCGUCU